rnacentral:lncRNA from 1 species
AUCAAAAUCAUAUCAAAGCAUCCAGGAAGUCCUUAUGAUGAUAAUGGUUUGCUUUUUUUUCUGAUAGAAGCUAUUGUUUUGUCGGAAUAAGCCCAAAUGUCAGACAAGUGUCAAGGCAAUAAAUCACUCUUUUUCUUGACAUUUUGACUGCCUCAACCUGUGAUGCAUCGAUUGUCAUAGGCAACCAGCUCAAGUGGCAAUGGCAACCUGUGAGCCUCAGGCUGGUGGCAACCUCCUCCAUCACAAAGUAGGUAUCUCAAUUUCUCUUUCUCUCUUAGAAGGAUUUAAAUGCAAAGUAACUUGACCUAAUGAUUUGUUUGUCUAUAAAGGAAUGAUGACCAGAGAUCCAGGAAAAAGAACAGAGGACCACAGCUAAAGACAGCAACCCAACAGGCAACAAGUACGAGGAAGUUACCGAUAAGUAGAGCUCUCAAGACUAUACUGUAUCUUGAUGAGUCAAACUUGACUGGACUCGUGUUGGUGUCUUACAGAUAUUUUUUGUGUGUGCCUGUGACUAUUUGCAGACAACAUGGAAGAUCAUCACUGUCCUAAGUCUACUGUCACAUCAG